UACAGAGGGUGCUAGCGUUGUUCGGAAUCAUUGGGCGUAAAGGGCGUGUAGGCGGUUUGUUAAGUCAUGUGUGAAAUCCCUCGGCUCAACCGGGGAACGACGCAUGAAACUGGCAAGCUAGAGUACCAAAGAGGGGGGUGGAAUUCCCGGUGUAGCGGUGAAAUGCGUAGAUAUCAGGAGGAACACCUGUGGUGUAGACAGCUUACUGGACCAUUUCUGACGCUGAGACACGAAAGCGUGGGUAGCAAACAGG
rnacentral:rRNA from 1 species